rnacentral:lncRNA from 1 species
UGAAAUUUACAAUUAACGCCUUUAUUUUAUUCAUUUACUAAUUUUCACACGUGAAUUCACAUUCACUCGUUGGGACGAGGUCAACGAGGGUGGACCGACAAAACACAAUCGAUAAACUCCGAUGUCUCUGUCAAUGUCUCCUCGCGUUUCCUCUGUUUCGGUUCUGUCACCACCGUUCAGAGACAUCCACGUUCUCUUCUGAUUCUUACAUUCUUUCUUGGUCCUCUUCCUCCUAAUCUCACCUGAACAAAGAACAUGGUCAUUAUGGUGAUGGUCGGAUUGGGACUAUUGGACUUCCUCGUUGCCGGGGUUUCAUUAAUCAUUGGUUUGGCCUUCAUUACCUUCAUUGCUUCCAUUCUCUGCGCCACAGCGUUCUUCAACAACGCCAAGGAUGUCGUCUCCUGAGUGCUGAAUCCUCAAUUCGAUGGUUCGAUCUUGACUUUCAAUUUUUCGAUUUUGUGUGUGUGUUUUUUUUUGUUACAAUGACGACAAGGUUAGAAACUAGGACCUUGUGCAAACUAUUCAAAAUCUUCAACCAUUAGGCUGACUUUAGUGGGUUUAAUUUUGAGUAUUAAAGUAGACUAUUUUUUUUUUAUUCGUAAGAAUUGAAUAUAGUUAAUCAAAAUUUUUUAGGAUUUAAAAAAUGUUGCGGGGCCGAAAUUUUGGAUGCAGAGUCAAUGUGGUCGCAAUUGUCUGCAAUUUCCCCCACAACAUCAAGAAUUGCAACUUAAAAGAUAAAACCUUGGUUUGUUCUUGUUCGGUUCCUUGUUGAGUUUGGUUAGAAUCUAUUGUGUUUAUUACUUUAGGUAAAAAUACUUACCUCUUGACGUUGUUCUCCGAUUAGAAUUAGAGUUUUUUUCUGGAUAAUUCGUGUAACAAAUGUUUAAAUUAAAGGUUAGUAUAGGUUUAUAAGGCGAAACUAUAAUUCAGAUCAAAGAACAACAAUGAAAACAUACGAGGAAUUUGUUUUAAGUUUUGUCCUUUUAUUUAUUCCUGUGUGGAAUAAGAAUGCUUUUGUAUCCUAAAUUGUGAUUAAGGCGCUGUAAGCUUAACUAUUAGAUUAGGAUUUGUUGCUAAUUAGGAAUUUGUAUCCUAGAUUGUGAUUAUGGCGCUGUAAGCUUAACUAUUAGAUUAGGAUUUGUUGCUAAUUAGGAAUUUGUAUCCUAGAUUGUGAUAAUGGAGCUGUAAGCUUAACUACUAGAUUAGGAAUUUGUUACUAAUUAGGAUUUUUCCCUCUUUGUCUCUCAACAUUGAUGUGUGUAUUCAUGGAAUAUUGCCAUUUAUGAUUAUUCAAUAUUUGUUAUUCUGCACUUUAGGAUUUCAGACUUAAUUUAUCUUUUAUCGUCCCAAUUUUAAGUUCAUUUUUCAGUUUUGGUUAUGGAAAUUCUUUUUACCCGUGGUGGCAGAUUAGAAAACAGCCAUAUCACGAGUUCUACCCAACCCUAUGAACUAAUAGGAGGAAACUCUGGGCUAUAUGAACUACUGCUGCUGGCACAAACUCAACAAAUUUAUGAUGUAUUUAAUUUCGAAGUAGGGUAGAGAAUUUUGAGUUUCACCAUGUUGGAACUAUAGACCUCUAAUGUUUGUGCUCUAAAGUUUUUGAUAAUUAUGUAAUUUUAAAGAUGGAAUGAACUCACUGACAACAUUUUUAAGUGUGCAGAGUCAGACAAUGUUCAUAAUAAUUAAGGAUAUUCUGAAGUUUUUGACAAAGAUAUCCCAUCAUGAUCGAAUGAAAAAUGUUUGAAGCAUUAUAUCUUGAAAUAUCUCAUUAAAAUCAUACUUAGCAAAUUUUUUCUUUCUCUUGUUCAUCUCUGUUAGCCUUUUCUUUUUUUCAACUAAGG